CCAAUUGACUGACACCUGACGGUCGAAGUUCCCUCCAAGCAUUCAGUGCAGCGCCGAAAUGGACAAAUGGUAACAAGAAAAAACAAACAAAAAAAAGUCCUACCACCGAGACACCGGCCACUACCACCAAUCAGCUCAUAUCUGAAGAUGCAUUUGCCAGUGACUGCACAGGUGAUUGUUCAACAACAACGUGUUCGUCAGAUUGGGAUGCUAGCACGGAUGUAUCUGUGGAUACUAGCCAAGUGGCUAGCAUAGCUGGAGACAGUAAUGUGGAAAGUGAUGAAUGGUCUGAUACUGUUCUGUAAACCGCUGGAAGAAAGGACAACUGCAGUAGAUAUUUUUCACACAUUCAUGAACACACAUGUACUCUUGUGGGACAGAUAUGUUGGCAUCUGCACUGGUGGCGCACGGGCCAUGACUGGGAGACACGGAGCAUCCACCGAGAGGCUCUUGCUGCAAAGGGUUGGUGCGUGUGUUUGUGUAUAUUCACUGAGAAGCUGAGCUGUGGACAGUCGAACAUCCCUCCCAGCCAGGAGAGGACAGCAUCAAAUAAGGCCAGCAGGGCCAUGAAGGCAAUGAUGUUGGCUAAAACGCUGGCCACUAGUGCGAUUGCACGAGAUGCACCGAGGGAUGCCGCCUCCAACAAAUUCUUGCUUUCACUGAAGAAAAAGCACAUCCUCUUCCUCACCCCAAAGGAGAUGUAGGCUCCCAAAAUGGUACCAGAGAUGCUGGCAAAACCUCCUGUCAUCACAGCAUGGAUCUCUGACAGAGUUAGCUCACUGAUAUAUGGACGAAUCAGGAGAGCCACUGCAGUGCACCUAAACCAAAUGUGGUCCUGAGAAUGAAAAGACCGAAGAUAAACUGCAGCCCGAUCCCAAAAACCAGCGUUUGCC